rnacentral:piRNA from 1 species
UGAGAUGAGCCCGACUGCAAAGAAGA